rnacentral:rRNA from 1 species
AAGCUCGUAGUUGAAUUUCGGGAUUAGUACGUCGGUCGUGCCUUAGGUACGUACUGGUGUUACUGGUUCCUACCUUCUGACGAACCAUCAUGUCAUUAAUUUGGUGUGGUGGGGAAUCAGGACAGUUACUUUGAAAAAAUUAGAGUGUUUAAAGCAGGCUCGCGCUUGAAUACAUUAGCAUGGAAUAAUGAAAUAGGACGUUGAUCCUAUUUUGUUGGUUUCUAGGAUUGACGUAAUGAUUAAUAGGGAUAGUUGAG